GACGAACGCUGGCGGCGUGCUUAACACAUGCAAGUCGAACGGAAAGGCCCUGCUUUUGUGGUGUGCUCGAGUGGCGAACGGGUGAGUAACACGUGAGUAACCUGCCCUUGACUUUGGGAUAACUUCAGGAAACUGGGGCUAAUACCGGAUAGGAGCUCCUGCUGCAUGGUGGGGGUUGGAAAGUUUCGGCGGUUGGGGAUGGACUCGCGGCUUAUCAGCUUGUUGGUGGGGUAGUGGCUUACCAAGGCUUUGACGGGUAGCCGGCCUGAGAGGGUGACCGGCCACAUGGGUACUGAGAUACGGCCCAGAGUCCUACGGGAGGCAGCAGUGGGGAAUAUUGCACAAUGGGCGGAAGCCUGAUGCAGCAACGCCGCGUGCGGGAUGACGGCCUUCGGGUUGUAAACCGCUUUCGCCUGUGACGAAGCGUGAGUGACGGUAAUGGGUAAAGAAGCACCGGCUAACUACGUG
rnacentral:rRNA from 1 species